CAUGGAGGGUGAGAAUCCCGUUCGGCUGAUAUCAUGACGCUUUACGAUACGUUUCCAAAGAGUCGAGUUGUUUGGGAUUGCAGCUCAAAAUGGGAGGUAAAUUUCUCCUAAGGCUAAAUAUUGGCGAGAGACCGAUAGCGAACAAGUACCGUGAGGGAAAGAUGAAAAGAACUUUGAAAAGAGAGUUAAAAAGUACGUGAAAUUGUUGAAGGGGAAACGAUUGAAGUCAGUCGUACCGACGAGAAAUCAACUCAUCGAAUGGGUAAUUGCGGGCGUAUGAGAGCUUCACGGUCUCAUUGUUUGCGAAUGCAUGUUUUUUGGGUGUACUUUUUUGUAUGGUAGGUCAACGUCGGUUUCGAUUACUAUAAAAUGAUCGGAGGAAUGUAGCUUCGAUUUCGGUUGAAGUGUUAUAGCCUUUGGUAGAUGUAGUGAUUGGGACCGAGGAUUGCAACGAAUACCCUUUUGGGCUAUCCGUCUGACCCCUGAAAGUUGCUUAGGUGCCGAAAGCUUGCUUACGGUUAUUUAAGUUUGCGGUCAAAAGGUUAGAACGCGAUUACAUUCGUUAAGGAUGUUGACGUAAUGG
rnacentral:rRNA from 1 species